rnacentral:lncRNA from 1 species
AGCAAGACCAGACUUUGCCCUUCCUCCUCUCAGCCUACUCAACGUGAAUAUAAUGAGGAUGAAGACCUUUGUAAUGACCUUUUCCCACAUAAUGAAUUUUUAUAUUUGAAAAAGAAACCUAGCAUCCUGGUUUUCUCUGGGAAAAUCUUAAAGAUUUGCUGUAACUGAGCCUGCAUUUCCUUAACACAAAUCUGCUGGAGCUGAACAUUUGCUGCUGCUUCCUUUAAACUUGACCUCAAUCACGAAGGUCUUCAUCAACUCACUCAGUGCUUUCACAUGUACUUAUACCCAGCACAUGCAUUGGCUAUGACCUUGCAGAAUUUGGCAUUAGCAACCUCAAAAACUCUGGAAAAGGCUUCAUUUUCUCCAGUCUCCUGGGAGAGGAGAGGCACCAUGAAGGCAGACCCAUCCAGAGAACACCUGCGACAGGCUGAGAGGCCAUUGGGAGACACACUUCUGAACACCACCACUGGAAAAUCACACAUGCUGAAAUGGGAGAGUUCCCUGACCCCCUUGCAGGAUAUGUGACAGGAGUGUGGCUCAUCUGUUCAGCUGGAGUGCAUACUCAAACCCCUUAUGAGACAAGGAGUAUGCAGACAGAAGGUGCAGGAACUGGGAAGCAAAAUAUAAACUAGUUAAUUUGAUCUCCAAGAGUUAAGCGGUUUUAAUAUUACUGACAGUAAUAUCAGCAGUGGUGUUGGAACCCCAUGAUCUCAUGAAUCAUAGAGAGCAACUGCUUACUGGACAUUGAAGCUUUAUGGCCAGCUGCCAAAAAAAUAAAUGCACCUUAAUUUUUAAAUUGAAUUAUAAAGCCAAAAAUAUCCUAUUGCUCUAUUCCUCUUAUUUUGGUGUUUACAUGUGACUUUAUAAUUUCCUUCACUUGAAAGAUUUUAACUUUAAAGG